AAUUUUUCGCAAUGGGCGAAAGCCUGACGGAGCAAUACCGCGUGAGGGAGGAAGGCUUUAGGAUUGUAAACCUCUUUUCUCAGGGAAGAAGAUCUGACGGUACCUGAGGAAUAAGCAUCGGCUAACUCCGUGCCAGCAGCCGCGGUAAGACGGAGGAGGCAAGCGUUAUCCGGAAUUAUUGGGCGUAAAGCGUCCGCAGGCGGUUUCUCAAGUCUGCCGUUAAAGACCACAGCUCAACCGUGGAGUGGCAAUGGAAACUGUGAAGCUAGAGUGCGGUAGGGGCAGAGGGAAUUCCCGGUGUAGCGGUUGAGUGCGUAGAUAUCGGGAAGAACACCAGUGGCGAAGGCGCUCUACUGGGCCAUAACUGACG
rnacentral:rRNA from 1 species